CUAGCUUUCUCUCCUCCUCUCAUCUCUGAAUCUUCGUCAGUGCUAAACAAGAGCAGAUCCUUCCCAACCUCCUUCAGCAAUAUAUUUGACGAUGUUUCUAGAUCUUUCCCUCCUUUGUCGGCUUGAGUUCCCCGGAGUCCUCAUAUUCUCAUUUCCUCCAUUCUCAGUCAUUUAUCCCCUCCUCUUUCCUAUUUAACAACGGUUUGUCUAGAUCUACCAACUCUUCCACUCUCGCCGGAGCCUCCUCAAUUUAGUACAUAGAGGAUCCGUAUCGUCUUCCCUCAUCUGCUAGACCAUAGGUUGCUUCAUUCGCUUGUCGAGGUACAUAUCCAAAAUCUACUGCUUCGAAUCUACUGACCCUUUCUUUACAUUCUUUUGUUAAGGCACUAAUAGUAUAUUUAUCCUUCUCAGAGUAAUUCACCUUCUUAAUGAUAGUUAACGCAUCUCCUUCCACCAUAACUUUCCAAAAUCCCAAAGCCUUCGCAAAAAUCAGGGCUUGUACACAUGUUCGUAUUUCUACCACUGUCGAAUCCAUCAUGUUCUCAUUCGGGUAAGUACACGCGGCUAAAAUAAGCCCUUCUCUAUUUUUUAUAAGAAUUGUAAAAAAAUAGAAUGUCGGUAAUGACAAUUUAUCGCAAAGAGAAAGAGAGAAAAAUAAAGAACACACAGAUUUUACGUGGAAACCCUUUCGGGAAAAAAACCACGGGCAGAGAAGAAGAUAAUUCACUAUGUCGAAUUCGAAUAAUUACAAGAGGAGUAGACUAUGUCUAUUUAUAGGCUUGUAAAACCAUAUUCUAAUAGGAGUGUAGUAAGAUUGAAACACCUUAUUCUAAUCAAUAUCAAAUAGAUGGAGCUUAAUAAGGCUUAAAAAACCUUAUUCUAAAAUAAAAUAAAAGAAGUGUAGUUCUAUAUGGAUUUUAAUUUUAUUUUAUUUUACCAAUGUAUUUUAUUUAAAUAAGGAUUCGGGUCACUUAAUUUUAACAAUUUCCACCUUAACACGAAUUCUCAAUGAACAAGUUCUUUAUCGCAAACUCUCAACGAACAAGUUUUCCACCUCUUCCAUAAAACCCCUUAAGGGUUUAACUUCAACAAUGAACACCAAACAAGUCUAAGUAAUGCUCAAACUUGGUUAUAGGAAGUGACUUAGUCAUCAUAUCUACAGGAUUUUCAUGAGUAUUAAUUUUGCUCACAACAAUAUCACCACGAGCAAUAAUAUCAUGAACAAAAUGAUACCGAACAUCAACGUGUUUUGUUCUCUCAUGAAACAUUUGAUCUUUUGUAAGGAAGAUGGCACACUGACUAUCAUAAAAUAUUGUAUUGAUUUGAAGGUCUUCAUUGAGUUCGCUAAAGAGCCCCUUCAACCAAAUGGCUUCUUUACAGGCUUCAGUAAUCGCCAUAUGCUCAGUUUUAAUGGUAGACAAAGUAACUGUAGUUUGCAAAGUGGCUUUCCAACUGAUUGCACAACCUCCUAUUUUAAAGAUAUAACCUGUGAGAGAUCUUUUUCUAUCAAUGUCUCCAGCAAAAUCAACAUCAACAUACUCAAUGACUCCAUCUCUAGUUCUUCCAAACUGUAAGCAAAUAUCAGUAGUACCUUGUAAGUAUUUUAAAAUCCAUUGAAUUGCUUUCCAAUGUUCUUUACCGUGAUUUGCCAUGUAUUUGCUAACUGCACUGACUGCAUAUGAUAAAUCUAGACGUGAACAAACCAUAACAUACAUGAGAGAUCCCACUACACUAGAGUAUGGAACAUGUGACAUGUACUCAAUCUCAUCAUCUGAUUGUGGAGAUAAAGCCGAUGAAAGCCUGAAAUGGGCUGCUAAAGGAGUACUAACAGGCUUAGUAUUCUGCAUACUGAAUCUGCAAAGAACUUUCUCAAUGUACCCCUUCUGACUUAGGUACAAUUUACUUACUUUUUUAUCUCUGAGAAUCUCCAUACCAAGUAUCUUCUUUGCUGGUCUCAAAUCUUUCAUCUCAAAUUCUUCACUUAGUUGGGUUUGACCUUUCUUAUCUCUCAUUUAUCUUUCGCUGCUAUCAACAUAAAUGAUUAGAUACACAAAAGAACCAUCACUAUUUUCUUAAAGUAAACACAACUGUCAAAGCUACUUCUUUUGAAAUCAUGAGAAGUCAUAAAGGAAUCAAACCUCUUGUACCACUAUCUUGGUGACUGUUUCAAACCGUAAAGGGACUUUUUCAGCAAGCAAACAUAAUCCUCUUUUUUUAAGGCUGUAAAACCCUCUGGUUGUUGCAUGUAAAUAUCCUCCUCAAGUUCUCCAUACAAAAAUAUAGUUUUUACAUCUAACUGUUCAAGCUCCAAAUCAUGCAUGGCCACAAUACCAAGAAAAGCUCGAAUCGAACUAUGCUUCACAACCGAGGAGAACAUAUCUGUGAAAUCCACUCUUGGAAUUUGAUUGUAACCCUUUGCAACAAGCCUUACUUUAUAUCUGGGUUCUUCAAAUCCUAGAGUCCCUUCUUUCUUUUUAAACACUCAUUUACAACAAACAACCUUUUUACCUUUAGGAAGUUUCACAAUACCCCAUGUUUUGUUUUUGUGGAGUGAUUCCAUCUCUUCUUGCAUAGAAAACAUCCACUUUUCUGAGUCUUAUCAGCUAACCGUAUCAGAAUAAUUAGAUGACUCUUGGUUUGCAUCUAUAUCUUCAAUUACCUUUAAAGUAUAAGCAACUAGAUUAGCCUCUGCAUACUUCUUUGGAGGUUUAAUUUCUCUUCUAGUUCUAUUUUUGGCGAUAGAGUAUUGUGGUGAAGAAGCAACUCUAUUUUGAAUUUUUGUACUGGCUUAAGGAGUCGACUCUCUUGUAGAUUCUGGAUUAAUCUGAUGCUUCACCUGCUUUUUAUUUUCUUUAUUGGAAGAGUCUUUAAGAGAUAAGUUAGGUAGCAUAGCAGUUUCAUCAAAAACAACAAAUCUGCUAAUCACAACUUUUCUAUUUUCAGGACACUAUAACUUAUACCCUUUUACACCAACUUUAUAACCAAGAAAAACACAUUUAAUGGAUCUCGGUUCCAAUUUUCCAUUAUCAACAUGAGCAUACGUAGGAUACCCAAAGAUCUUUAAAUUAGAAUAGUUAGUAGGUUUACUAGACCAUACCUCUUGUGGAGUCUUUUUCUCAAUGGCAACGAAUGGAGAUCGAUUGAUAAAAAAUAUGCAGUAAAGGCUGCUUCAGCCCAAAACGACUUUGGUAAGUUGGAAUUUAACAACAUACAUCGAACCUUUUCCAUGAUCGUUCUGUUCAUUCGAUCUGCAAUACCAUUUUGCUGUGGAGUAUGGCGAACUGUCAAGUGUCUCACGAUCCUUUUUGACUUACACAGUUUAUUAAACUCAUCAGAAUAUAACUCUAAGCCAUUGUCUGUGUGGAGGUAUUUUAUUUUUUUUCGUCUGUUUUCAAUCAUAGUUUUCCAAGACUUAAAUGCGAAAAACACAUCGUAUUUCUGCUUCAGGAAGAACGCCCAAACUUUUCUAAAAAAAUCAUUAAUAAAAGUUAUCAUAUAAUUAACUCCACAUCUCGAAGGUACUUGGAUGACCCCCACAGAUCAGACUGAAUAUACUUCAAUGUUCCCUUCGUGUUAUGGAUUCCUCUGGUGAAUCAAACUCUCUUUUGCUUCCUAAAAUCGCAGUGUUCACAGAACUUCAGUUUACAAAUUCCUUACCCAUCAAGAAGUCCUCUUUUGCUCAAUUCUGCCAUGUUCUAUUUUCCCACAAAAGAAGUAAACAAGUGUGAUUUUUUCAUAUUGGAACAAUGCAUAAGUCGAAUGAUUUUGGUCAAAGGUUAUUCGCCUUUUCCUUUUCAGAGGCCAUCGAACAUCUAAUUUGAAUCUGAUUCACAUGUACUUUUUAAUGCCCCUAGUUACCAAAGCAGCAUCAUAUUCUACAAACUCUCCAAUGAACUUACCAAAUUGACACACUAUUCUUUUAGAGAUAAAUCCCUUCAAUAAAUUGUAAACUUGAACCCAAAACUUCGUAAAGAAAAACGGAACUUGCAAUGGACCUUCCCCCUGUUCUAAUCAAUGGAAUAGUAUUAGAUGCCUAUUAAAGAACCAAGGUGUACCCUGAAGAACCCUCUUUAGAUCUAUCUCAUGGUAGAACUGAAAUAGACUCAUUUUCUCCCAAAUAUUAGUUAUAGAUACUCCUCCUACCGAAUGCCACAGAUCUGCUAGAGUGUUUCUCAUUGAUGGGAAGUGAACCACACUAUUUAUUAAAACUCUCCCUACCAGACUCAUCCUAUAGUCUUCCUCGCGCACAUAUUCAAUCCAUUAGUGUAACAACCUAUUUUUUAGUGGUGACGAUAAACGUGGUUUCAGGACCACAAAUUUGACGUGCCAAUUUGUAAAUAUUUAUUAGUUUAAAAUAUUUAUGAGGUCAUUAGUGUAAUAUUAUAUUUUGGUUGAGAAAUUUUAUCAUUUAAAUGGUUUCAUAAGUAAAAGGACUAAAUCGUAAAAAUUGUAAAAGUUGAAUGGUAAAAUUAAAAGGAUUAAAAGGAUAAUUAAACCAUGAAUUCUAGUUACUGGAAUGGAAUGAUGUUUUGCAUGAGUGGAAAUGGUUUAAUUAGGCUUAAUCUAGUAUUAAUUAAGGUUUAAUUAAGAAAGUUAUAAUAUUUACAAAAUUACCAAAGCAUAUAUAUUAAACCAAAGAAAAUAAAAUAAAAAAUGCCAUUCUUUUUCAUUUUCUUCUCCACGACAAUAGAAGAAAGAAAAUAGAGUUUUCAUACUUUUGAUUGAAGCUUUGAUUUGGUAAGUGUAUUGAUGCCUGUUUUUAGUAAUUUUUAUAUUUUUAGACUCAUAUUAGCUUAAUCUAGCAUGCUCGAGGAUUAAUUUGUGAAAAUGUCAAACUAUGUGAUUGUGCCAUUGUUGAGUUGAGUGCUUUUCUUGAAACUUUUGAAAGAUUUCUAAGUUUUGUUGUUAGAUUAGACUAUUUUGUAAAGUAGUUUUUGAUGAUUUUAAGGUUUAAGCACUAGAUUAAUAAAAUGAUGAAAUUUUUUAUACUUGAAAGGAAAUAAAUGUAAGUAGGGGCUGGUACAAGGCCAUGGAAGAAUCAACUAGAUUUUUGUGUAAAAGAAAUGGGUAAAUUGCAUGUUUGGGGCUUAAGGAUUAAAUUGAAUAAAGAUGAAAAGUUGAGGGAAAUUUUGUAAAAUGUUAAUAAAAGACUAAAUUGUAUAGAAUGAUUAAUUUUGGCUGUUGAUUUCAUUAAUUAAAUGACACUAUUGUUUUAGAUCACGAGCGUGUUGACAAUUGUGGAAAAGAAAAGAUUGUGGAGUAGUUCUGUGCUUUUGCGAUUACUGUAAACUAGUCCUGUAAGUUCGUUUUAUGUUAUGUAUAGUUGACUUCAAUUCCUUAUUAGUGAUUUAAUAUUUAAAUUUUGUUAUGUAUUGAUAUUUAAACGUUGAAUUGUACUAUUAUUCAGGCUUUGUGCCUAGCAGGCUUAGUGUCGGUGUUAUUCAGGCUUAGUGCCUAGCAGGCUUAGUGUCACUGUUAUUCAGGCUUUAUGCCUAGUAGGCUUAGUGCCGGUGUUAUUCAGGCUUAGUGCCUAGCAGGCUUAGUGUCGGUGUUAUUCAAGCUUUAUGCCUAGUAGGUUUAGUUUCAGUGUUAUUCAGGCUUAGUGCCUAGCAGGCUUAGUGCCGGUGUUAUUCAGACUUAUUGCUGGUGUAAUAAAUGUAACGUCCCUUGGGAAUUUGGAAAAUUAUAGUAAAUAAGUAGGCUUAUUCGCUUAAUUUUAUUUUUUAGGACUUUUGGAAUCGUUGCAUCGAUUGGAUUGGCUUGGAAGCUCACACACUAUCAUCAGUUCACACACACUAUCAUCUAUACCUUGGUAGUCAUUUUGUACUUUUUUGAAGUUGGUUUAAAGUGGCAUGUAAUAGGAGGAGUCUUUAGUAUUAUGAUAUUUUGUGAAUGUGUAAAUGGUGAAUUGAUAUGAUCAUACUUGUGAAGUUUUAAGUUUGAACUUGAUGAGC
rnacentral:lncRNA from 1 species